CCGGGAUGAAAAUUAAAAGUUCUUAAAAGUCCAAAAACUUUCCUUUUUGAUGGUUUGGGGAAAACGCCCACCUGUCUUAUUCAGUAUGAGCAUGCUUUCUAUUCUAUAGAUAAUUCCAAAGAAAUGGGCAAAACCGGGGAAUCAGGUCAACAAUGGCUAGUGGUAGAACGCUUGCUUAGGAAGUGGAAAGCCUGGGAUUCGAAUCCCAGCAUCGGAAAAAUGAGGCAAGGCAGCGAAAACUAUUGUAAAGCCACAG